UGGAACCAAAACUGAGGGUAUAUUGGCA
rnacentral:piRNA from 1 species